GCAACUUUAGCUCAGUUGGGAGAGCGUCAGACUGAAGUUUCACUUCGGCUCCAACCAUCACACCUGUGAUAUCUGAAGGUCACCCGUUCGAUCCGGGUAAGUUGCA